CAGAGCCUGGGUGGGUAGGGUUGUCAGUUGCUGGCAGUUGUGGGAAAUUGGCUGCUGGGUUCUCCCUGGGCAUGACUGGAAUGGAGAAAGGGCUGAGUUAUAAUGAAUCCAGGAAGAAUCUAAAAGAGGCCAUUACUUUGCUUAACCUCUGUCAAAAUAAAUGCUGUUACCAGUAUAGUCUAAGAUUAACGGGAGCAUUGAUUUUGGCAGCUUUCUUCUAAUAUAGUCCUUCUCCUUAAGUUAUGUGUAUAUGGAUGCCACAGCCAUAAACAGUUAAAGUCAAUGAAACUCAAAAAAUAGAAAUGAUCUUUGAAUGGAGGGACAAGAAUGUAUCUGUUGCAGCUGGGGACAAAUCGAAAAGGAAAUCAAAACUGUCUAUUGUCAACUGAAUUCCUGUGUUUAAUUAGAAACUGAAACCCUCUUUCUGUCCCUUUUUUUCUUUGGCAUUGCUUAACCUGGGGUCAAAAGCAGGGAAAAAAUGUCUUCCAGGAAAUGGGAAGAAUGACAAGAAACACUCAGGUAUCCUACCUCCAUAAUUUUCAUGGUAAAUCUGUUCAUUUGCCUAUUAAAAAAGAGGAAGAAGAAAAAGAUAUUUUAGCUCUUCAGUUAAAUCCAGCAAAGGCAAUAAAAGCAGAAUUUGUAACCCAUGACAAAAUCCCCCAGAUCCAGCAGUCUCUACCCUUUCAAAUCCUUUAUGCAUGAAUGUGUCUCCUCCAGGCACUUCAUACCGAAGGACCUCAAGACCCUGGCGUAUUGCUUCUCUGAAAUAAAGAAACAAAGUUUAAGUUUUCUUUAAAAA